GGCUUUCCGCAGCGGUAACAAAAUAUUUUGCGUUCCUUCGCCACGCAGUCUCGGAACCCGUGGUCGAACUGGCCGCAAUUCCAGCAACACAGCCUGGGUUUGUUCGCCAGCUCCUCCACUCGCUUCCCGGCUGAAUGGAAUUUCGGCGCAGGACGGAACGUCGACUUCUGCUCGCGUCCGCGAAAGUGGUACUCCACUUCCAGGCACUCCUCCCUCAGCUGCUCCACGUUUCGGACUCGGAUCGCGUAAACGUAGCGGGCGAUCUCGUCAUCGAGUCCCUUCUUCAAGACUCGCACCAUUUCGGACUCAACCAAAGAUUCGCCAGAUUGUUGUCGUCGCUCAUGCAAGGUGCGUAGCCGCUCGAACUCGCCACCCACCGCUCGGAGCCGGGACACCAACUCGUCCUUCAAAUCCUCCCAUACUUCCGGAGGCCGUUCUCGGACAAAUUGCCAAUACCACUCCGCCGCUUGUCCUUUGACGAGAUGGUGAAAGUUGUCAAGGACCUCGUCCCACGACCGUCGGUUCUGCCUACGGAGGAACUCGACCCUGAACACGAAGUCCUGCACCGUCAUCUUAUUUGGGUCUCCGUCGAAGUGGAUUUCCCAUUUGUCGACGCGUCCCCAUC